CAAAGACUUCUGCACACUUGCUGGUCCCCUGAUGUGACGGGCGAGAGGGGAGGAUGGGGCACCAGUCAAUCUCUCCCUCAAUGGCAGCAACCACAAAACAACCCGUUGUCUUUUAUGAACUCUCCGCUGGGACAUUGUCCCAGCCGCCCGUCACCUGGGAUCUUGGCUGGCCCCAGCGAUCCCCUCCUGCCGAUCCCCCAGUAUGUGAACGGAGUGGGCCCAGUUCAGCAAUGCCAUGGUUCUUUCUGCUCAGGCAUCUGGCUCCUUUCACACAUCAGCCAUAUUGGCUCGAGAUGGGGCAUCCUUACCCAACGUUGCUUUUUUGAGAUGCUGUGAUCCGUGAAACUGGCAGGGAUGGGUCCACACUGAAGAGUCACAGGGAGCCAACACAGAUGGACUCUUCUAUGAAAAGGUCAGAAGGAGAAAAUUGAGUGGAAAGUUUCUUACAGUUUCAUCAAAUGAGUAAAAUUGGAUUCUAGCUGCCUUAUGCACAAAAUAGAUACCCCACAAGGUGUCGUCAAAGCAGGUUAAAAGAAGGUAAGAGAUGAGAAUGGUGAGGCAGAGG